rnacentral:rRNA from 1 species
GAGACAGCAGCAGCCGCGGUAAUGCGUAGGGUGCAAGCGUUAAUCGGAAUUACUGGGCGUAAAGCGUGCGCAGGCGGUUUGUUAAGACAGAUGUGAAAUCCCCGGGCUCAACCUGGGAACUGCAUUUGUGACUGGCAAGCUAGAGUGUGGCAGAGGGGGGUGGAAUUCCGCGUGUAGCAGUGAAAUGCGUAGAUAUGCGGAGGAACACCGAUGGCGAAGGCAGCCCCCUGGGCCAACACUGACGCUCAUGCACGAAAGCGUGGGGAGCAAACAGGAUUAGAUACCCGGGUAGUCCCUGUCUCUUAUAC